AACGCGAAGAACCUUACCAAGUCUUGACAUCCCAUUGACAGAGUAUGUGAUGUACUUUCCCCUCGGGGCAAUGGUGACAGGUGGUGCAUGGUUGUCGUCAGCUCGUGUCGUGAGAUGUUGGGUUAAGUCCCGCAACGAGCGCAACCCUUAUUUCCAGUAGCCAGCAGUAAGAUGGGCACUCUGGAGAGACUGCCAGGGAUAACCUGGAGGAAGGUGGGGAUGACGUCAAAUCAUCAUGCCCCUUAUGACUUGGGCGACACACGUGCUACAAUGGCGUAAACAAAGAGAAGCGAGAGCGUGAGCUUAAGCAAAUCCCAAAAAUAACGUCUCAGUUCGGACUGUAGUCUGCAACCCGACUACACGAAGCUGGAAUCGCUAGUAAUCGCGGAUCAGAAUGCCGCGGUGAAUACGUUCCCGGGUCUUGUACACACCG
rnacentral:rRNA from 1 species